rnacentral:rRNA from 1 species
GAUGAACGCUGGCGGCGUGCCUAAUACAUGCAAGUCGAGCGAACAGAUAAGGAGCUUGCUCCUUUGACGUUAGCGGCGGACGGGUGAGUAACACGUGGAUAACCUACCUAUAAGACUGGGAUAACUUCGGGAAACCGGAGCUAAUACCGGAUAACAUAUUGAACCGCAUGGUUCAAUAGUGAAAGGCGGCUUUGCUGUCACUUAUAGAUGGAUCCGCGCCGUAUUAGCUAGUUGGUAAGGUAACGGCUUACCAAGGCAACGAUACGUAGCCGACCUGAGAGGGUGAUCGGCCACACUGGAACUGAGACACGGUCCAGACUCCUACGGGAGGCAGCAGUAGGGAAUCUUCCGCAAUGGGCGAAAGCCUGACGGAGCAACGCCGCGUGAGUGAUGAAGGUCUUCGGAUCGUAAAACUCUGUUAUCAGGGAAGAACAAAUGUGUAAGUAACUGUGCACAUCUUGACGGUACCUGAGCAGAAAGCCACGGCUAACUACGU